GGCCUUGUAGCUCAGCUGGUAGAGCAUACGUGUACUAAGUGUAGGCGGCGUCUAUUCGUGGGUUCGAAUCCCAACGAAGCUA
rnacentral:tRNA from 1 species